rnacentral:rRNA from 1 species
GCGUGAGUGAAGAAGGCCUUAGGGUUGUAAAACUCUUUCGCCCGCGAAGAUGAUGACGGUAGCGGGAGAAGAAGCCCCGGCUAACUCCGUGCCAGCAGCCGCGGUAAUACGGAGGGGGCUAGCGUUGUUCGGAUUUACUGGGCGUAAAGCGCACGUAGGCGGUUCAUCAAGUUAGGCGUGAAAGGCCUGGGCUUAACCCGGGAACUGCGUUUAAUACUGAUGGGCUAGAGUCCGGGAGAGGGUGGCGGAAUUCCCAGUGUAGAGGUGAAAUUCGU